rnacentral:rRNA from 1 species
CGUGUUGUAGCUAACGCGUUAAGCACUCCGCCUGGGGACUACGGUCGCAAGACUAAAACUCAAAGGAAUUGACGGGGACCCGCACAAGCGGUGGAGCAUGUGGUUUAAUUCGAUGCAACGCGAAAAACCUUACCACUCCUUGACAUGGAGAUUAGAUCCUUCUUAACGGAAGGGCGCAGUUCGGCUGGAUCUCGCACAGGUGCUGCAUGGCUGUCGUCAGCUCGUGUCGUGAGAUGUUGGGUUAAGUCCCGCAACGAGCGCAACCCUCAUCCUUAGUUGCCAGCGGGUAAGCCGGGCACUUUAAGGAAACUGCCGGUGGUAAACCGGAGGAAGGUGGGGAUGAUGUCAAGUCAGCACGGCCCUUAUGGGGUGGGCUACACACGUGCUACAAUGGUGACUACAAUAGGUUGCAAUGUCGCAAGGCUGAGCUAAUCCGUAAAAGUCAUCUCAGUUCGGAUUGUCCUCUGCAACUCGAGGGCAUGAAGUCGGAAUCGCUAGUAAUCGUGGAUCAGCAUGCCACGGUGAAUACGUUCUCGGGUCUUGUACACACUGCCCGUCACGCCAUGGGAAUUGGCUUAACUCGAAGCUGGUGCGCUAACCGAAAGGAAGCAGCCAUUAA